GGAGAGGUGACAGAGUGGUCGAAUGUGCAUGAUUGGAAAUCAUGUGAGCCGGCAACGGCUCCGAGGGUUCGAAUCCCUCCCUCUCCGCCA
rnacentral:tRNA from 1 species